rnacentral:lncRNA from 1 species
GCGAGGAAUCAGUGUGCCAAUCGAUAGUGAUUUAUGGUGGGGAUGCACAAGUGCACAUGGCUAACACUGAUCUGCAUGUAAAUUCCUUGACAUAAUAAGAAGUUAUUACCAAUGACAGUCACUGUCUGACCGCUAAUUCAUCAAUACAUCCUUCCACUGGUGUGAGCCUCAUUGGCUGUGUAGGGGGUGGAGGAACAGUAUGUCAUACCAUUGCCUUCUCCUGUAAGUCAGGUCCAGACAUCUGAUGCUUCAGGACCUGUUAUUGAACAGGUGAGACUAGAGGUCACAUUGACCAUGUCUCUGCCAAACAAUGGUUCCAUGAUUAACCAACUAGACAGGGGGCGGGCCUUGCUUGUAUUUUUCAAGCCCCAAAUGACUCUGAGUUAAAAAAAUAUAUAUAUACCACAAGUAAUAUCAAAUGUUGUAUUUAUUACAUUUCUUUUCUUAAUACUAUUUGCUUAAAGGCCUCAGAUAGCAAAUUAUUACAACAGUUGAUUUAAACAUAAUGCUUUAUUUUUUCCCCUUCGUUCUCUUAUCACUUUUGAAUAAAUUAAAACUGCUUCAUUUGUUUUGAGAGCUCUCACAUACCUCUGUGUUUUGUAUUUCUGUUGCCCCAGACAGAGUUCCUCAAGAAAGCCAGUCUUUAAUCCUGUGUCCUUUUGUUCUCCUGUCCUCUUUCCCGUGACAGGCCCUGGGAAAUCCAACCUAUACAGUCUCUGCUUCCCUGUAGUAACUCUACCACUCUACUCUGCUAACUGCCCUGCGGAGUCUUUAGUUAUUUCCAUUCUGGAUCCGAGUAGGUGUGUCUCCACUUUGUCUUCUGUGGUUGGAAUCUCUCGGGCCUGUAACUGAGUCCAUUACCAACAGGGACUUUGUUGUUUAAAACAUCCUGUCUCAGACCUUUAUGACCUGAUCAUUUUUGCUUAAGAGUCUUUGCAUCAGGAAAUUAUUCUUUAAACUGAAUGCAGGCGAGGUGAACACCCUCCUUUCUCUUCUCCAUUUGUAUGGAGAUGGCAACUGCUCUCUUGGAAGAAAGCCCUUGGGUAGAGUAAAUGGAUAGUGUAUAUAGAUUAACUCCGGCUAUAUGGUACCAGCUGUAUCUUGAGAAAUACAGAAAGUUACAUAUAAAAAAGAAGAGUAUUUGUUGUGGGUGGCAGUUUUAGUUGUAAUACAAGGGUAAAUAAUUGUAUCAACAAUUUUAAUUUCAGACUUUUAAUUGGAUAUAUUAGUUAGGCUCAUCCAAGUUAUGCUGGAAUAUCAGAUGACUCCUAGUGUCUCAGGGAGCUAGAUUCAUGUUUUGUUUGUGCCAUUUGUACAUAGACUGGCAGAGAAUCCUUGAUCAUUUCAAAUUACACAGGAACUCAAGGCAGAAGAGCUUUUGUCAUUGUGAGUGUUACUACACAUAGACACAGAGGAAAAUCUAGGAGAAUGAAUGUGCUGGAGGGUCCUGCCUUGGCAGUCAGCUUUGCUCUGAGAGUAGAACCAACCACACCAUCUCACUCUUACUCUGUGGCUCAGUGGAGAAUUGGAAAUAUUCUUUCAGGCCUAGCACUUAGUUUCUUACAAAAGACAAGUAUCUAAGAAAACCUUCUUAGAAAAUAAAAAGCAGUGGGGCUAAUGUCCAUGGUUCAGGGAUCAGUGUAGCCUAAGCAACCUUGAAUGAUUAAGUGGGAAUGCUAAAGGAUAGUGAACUGGUUUUACAGGUUUGUAGCUGGAGAGCCAGCAAGGGAAGAGCCUCUCCAGGGGUCGUCAAGUAAUGUGCACCCUCUUGUAGCCCUGAAUCUGUUGUUCUCCUCCUCUCUCCUGUGAUCCAAGGUCCCUGUUUCAGUACUUCAAGGCCAUGACUCACUUUGUCUACUAAUUGGGGGCCUACUAAGCAUCUCUUCUCCCCCAUCCUGGCGUUUUGACUGACAGCAUAUUUUUUUUUCUCCUGCAGAUUGACUGAGUUUUUAUUUUGGGUACUAGAAUUUGAACACUGUCUCAUAUUUUGUGUGUUUGACACAGGACAUUUGAGAUGAUGAUGAGAGAUGUCCAAGGGAGAUAUGUCCAGCAAGAGUUGAGAUCAGUAGAAAAGAAGCCUACAUUUGAGAUGACAGUGAGAGAUGUCCAAGCGAGAUAAGUCCAGCAAAGUUGUUGCACAGAGUUGAGAUCAGUUGAAAGGAUACCUAGUGAGAGACUUACUGAUUUUCUAGCUCAUAGCACACAUGCACCUGGCCUUGAGCGAUGGAGGGAUCUGAUUGGCACUGGAGAAUGAUCAGAUUUUGUUUGCUUUUCUUUCUUCUAUUCUGUUUCAGUAGGGUCACAUGACUGUUGAUAUUUCUACUGGAUUUUUUUUUCUUUCAUAAAAUUAGUUCAAAUUUUGCAUAAGAUGUUGGGAGGUGGUGUAUAGACUCCAUAUGUAAUGGGAACAGAAAACCUUUACAAUAGUUAAGGCUGACAGAUAUGGAAUGAUAAUUUCCAAAUGAUUUAUUUUUUUUUGUGUGUGUGCCAAGGUGGGAUUUCCUUCUGAAAGAGCAUUGGCUGCUUUUGAUGAUUGCUGAUAGGGGCAGAAACAUUGGUUAGCAGGGCAUGUGUUGGAGCUCAACACCUUAGAUUUUGACAUUUGAUCAAGUGACUUCUGUCUAUGGAAGAUUGGUAGUAUGUCUGUAUGUCAUCAGGGUGGGGGGAAAGAGGGAUUUCUUCUCAUCCUACCCUUGUUGACCCCAUGACUUUUUGUGACUCUUGAAUGCCACUUCAAAUUAGAAACAAAAGCCCAGUUUCAGUGAGUACCUUUUAUAUGCCAGGUACACAUGUAUGGCUCUCUGUAUAUUAUAUAUACACGUCUGAUAUAUUUUUAUAAAUACACAUGCAUCUAGUGUGUGUAAAUACAUGUAUCUUUUUUCUUUGCUCCCUAGGGCAUCUUUAGGAGGAGGUACUCUGGUAUGACUACCAUCCAAGUGUAAGCCAUUUUUGAUAACUACACAUUUGUUUACAUCCUAAGAACUUUACAUCAAUUAUCUUACUUCAUGCUAACAUCACUGGCUGGGAUAUAUGCUUUUAUUAAUUCCAUUCCAAACAUGAGAAAACUUAGCUACGGAGUCCAUUUUGUAUAAGGUCACACGGACAGGUAUAAGCUGUAUCAAUGUUUAAUGUCUAUCUUGAGGCAGCAUCCCCACUUGGCUCAGAUGCCCACCUCAGGAGCUCGUGAGGCAGAUGUGGGCCUGUGCUGGGCCCUCACAGAGUCUCUUGGAGCAGUAGGCACUGGCCAUAGUUUGCCCUCUUUUUAGCAUUUACAACUGCUAUUAUGGCGUCUAGUGGCAGGGUAUCAGCUCUAAGAUUUAUUUUUAUUAAAUCCUUAAAUGAUAGAGCUUUUAUGAUCUUGUUUAUAAGUUGAGGAUUAAAUAGAACUCCCCUCCCCUUUUUUUUCAGCCCAAGGUUGUUUGAUAGAGGUGUGUGUAGGUGUGUUUAAUGUAAAUUACCCAUUUUCUUUUUAUACAAAUCUGUACCUCCUUUUUCCCUCCCUUCCUCCAUUUCUCCUUUCUUCCUUAUAGCUGCUCUAGCAUUUUGUUGUUGUUUGUUUCUGGUUUUUGUUUUGUUUUGUUUUGUUUUACUUUUGAGAUAGGUUUCUCUGUGUAGCACUGGAUGUCCUGAAAUUCCUUUUGUAGACCAGGCUGGCAUCAAACUCAGAGAUCCUCCUGACUCUGCCUCCUGAAUGUUGGGGUUUAAGGCGUGUGCCACCACGCCUGGCUCUCUUUUAUGGCUUUUUUACCAAAGUGUUCUGGAUGCUUCUGGAGGACGCUAGCCAGUGUGCUUACUCUAGAGUUUCCUGUGCAAUCUGAGUCAUUUGAUGUUGGUGCCACUGUGGUGUUUAACACUGGGCUGGACCAACACAAUUAACUUACUUUUUGAUUCCAAAUUUCUCCAGAGCUAGGUAGUUGUCAGUGGGAGUGGCCAAUGUCACUUUGCCCGGUAUUGUCAUCCUGCUUGUACCCUAGCAUGUUUAAAAUGCUUCAAAAUCAAAAAUUGCCACAGAUUUUGAGUAGUUGAUACUAAGAAAGGUGGAUAUUAACAUACUUCAUUAAAAUAUCUCCAUGAAUAUGGUUGGCUAAUGUGCUUAUAUGGCUACCAGGAUUAAGAAUGAACAAACAAUAAUGCAGCCACCCAUAUCCCAUGCAUUCCAUGCUGCCUGUUAAUGAAUAUUUGUCCAAAGGCAACACACUGUCAUCUCUGAAACCUUUGAAGGUCUCCUUAUGUGGGAAACACUUUCUACAGGUAGGAGAUUAAGGAUUUUUGAGGUAAGGAGAUUAUUCAAGCAGAGCCUAGAUGCAAUCAGAAGUAUGUUUACUCGAAAGAAAGAGAUGUGACACCCACAGAAGGAGGAAUAGCCAGAAAGGAAAGCAAGGUGGCUAUAAGCCAAGUGCUGGUGGCAGCAAGCAGGAGUGGGAAGAUUUUCCCAUGGAACCCUGGGAAGGAAUAUGGCCCUGCCAAUGCCUCCCAUUCAACACUGUGAUACUGAUUUUAGCCUCAGGGCUUCCAGAACCAUGGGAGAAUAAUUUAUUUUUUAAUUCUAUCAGCUUUGUGGAAAAUUGUUACCAUAGCUGUAAGAAAUUAACACAUCCACCUGAGUAAAUGUUUAUGUUAUUGUUAAUUUAUUAAAGUCAAGUGUUAAAUUGAAAUUGGAGCCAGGUCUUUGAAUUGCUUUUUCAAUGCAGUGUAAAGGCAUAUUUU